rnacentral:rRNA from 1 species
UUGCUGAAGUUAGUAAAGUGGCGCACGGGUGAGUAACGCGUGGGUAAUCUUCCCCCGAAUUGGGGAUAACAUUGCGAAAGCGAUGCUAAUACCGGAUAAUAUCUUAAAUACCCUGGUAAUUAAGAUCAAAGGUGGCCUCUACAUGUAAGCUACUGUUUGGGGAUGAGCCCGCGUACCAUUAGCUUGUUGGUAGGGUAACGGCCUACCAAGGCUGCGAUGGUUAGCUGGUCUGAGAGGAUGAUCAGCCACACUGGAACUGACACACGGUCCAGACUCCUACGGGAGGCAGCAGUGAGGAAUUUUGCGCAAUGGGGGAAACCCUGACGCAGCAACGCCGCGUGAGUGAUGAAGGCUUUCGGGUCGUAAAGCUCUGUCAAGUGGGAAGAAACCACGUGGUGCUAAUAUCACCAUGUGCUGACGGUACCACUGAAGGAAGCACCGGCUAACUCCGUGCCAGCAGCCGCGGUAAUACGGGGGGUGCAAGCGUUAUUCGGAAUUACUGGGCGUAAAGAGCGCGUAGGCGGUCUUUUAAGUCAGGUGUGAAAGCCCGGGGCUCAACCCCGGAAGUGCACUUGAAACUAAGGGACUUGAGUAUGGGAGAGGGAAGUGGAAUUCCUGGUGUAGCGGUGAAAUGCGUAGAUAUCAGGAGGAACACCGGUGGCGAAGGCGACUUCCUGGACCAAUACUGACGCUGAGGCGCGAAGGCGUGGGGAGCAAACAGGAUUAGAUACCCU